rnacentral:rRNA from 1 species
AGAGCGAACGCUGGCGGCAGGCCUAAUACAUGCAAGUCGAACGCACCUUCGGGUGAGUGGCGGACGGGUGAGUAACACGUGGGAACGUGCCUUUUGGUUCGGAAUAAUCCGGGGAAACCUGGCCUAAUACCGGAUGUGCCCUUUGGGGAAAAGAUUUAUCGCCAAAAGAGCGGCCCGCGUCUGAUUAGCUAGUUGGUGGGGUAAAGGCCCACCAAGGCUACGAUCAGUAGCUGGUCUGAGAGGAUGAUCAGCCACACUGGGACUGAGACACGGCCCAGACUCCUACGGGAGGCAGCAGUAGGGAAUCUUGCGCAAUGGGCGAAAGCCUGACGCAGCCAUGCCGCGUGAAUGAUGAAGGUCUUAGGAUUGUAAAAUUCUUUCAGCGGGGAAGAUAAUGACUGUACCCGCAGAAGAAGCUCCGGCUAACUUCGCGCCAGCAGCCGC